CUCAGAACUUAUCUCCUGCGGUCCAAUCUCCUCUCUCUCCCUUAUCUCCUCCCUCCCUCCCUUUUCUCUUCUCCCUGCCCGAUGCCCCCAAAUCCCCCAAUCUCCUCCCGAACUCCCUUCUCUUCUCCCUGCCCGAAGCCCCCCAAUCCCCCAAUCUCCUCCCGAGCUCCCUUCUCUUCUCCCCUCUUUCCUGCCCUCCAGCCCCUCUCCCUUCCUCCACACCAGCCCGCCCCCUCUCCCUUCCUCUGCACCAGCCCAUGGCGCAUGGAGCAGCAGCAGCAUUGGCCCGUAGCGCAUGGAGGAGCAGCAGCAGCGGGGCGCGACGCCGUCGGAUCCGUCGGCCAUGACCCGUCCCGCCACCGGAUCCGACCUCCCUCGGCCCUGCAGCGGCCGGAUCCGGCCGCCCCCACCGCCAACCGCGCCGCCGAUAUUGUUGGUGUCAGGCUCGGGGAGCAAUUUUGGUGGCCGGCCACGACGAUCGCCGUGAGAUCCGGCCUCUUGCUUUUUUUGUGAUUUGUAAUCCAUGAUUUAUGGAUGUGAUUUGUAAUCCGUGAUUUAUGGAUGUGAUUUGUAAUCCGCGCUUAUCUGUGAUUUGCGAAUAUUAGAUGGCCACGGGCCUGUUUUUUUUAAAUCAUGAAAAUAACAUCACUGUCGGUCGUGCUACUCGACCGAUGAGGGACCGUUACUGAUGAUGCCCAUCAUCACUGACAGGAAGUUAGUAACGAGUGUCCCGUCCGUUACUGAUGCACUUUUUCGACCGUUACUGAUACACAUUUUUGUAGUAGUGUCAAUUGAGUCAGUGGUUCUCAUGGCUCGUCUUUUGAUGUUUUUGAUCAAUUUUCUUGUCAAUUCAACAACGGAGCAGCAGUUUCACA